AUGCUCACUUUGGCAGCACAUAUACUAAAAUUUGAACCAUACAGAGAAGAUUAACAUGGCCCCUGUGCAAGGAUGACAUGCAAAUUCUUCCUGUGUACCUCCGUUUU